GACGAACGCUGGCGGCGUGCUUAACACAUGCAAGUCGAACGGGAAGGCCCUGCCUUUGUGGGGUGCUCGAGUGUCGUACGGGUGAGUAACACGGGAGUAACCUGCCCUUGACUUUGGGAUAACUUCAGGAAACUGGGGCUAAUACCCGGUAGGAGCUCCUGCUGCAUGGUGGGGGUUGGAAAGUUUCGGCGGUUGGGGAUGGACUCGCGGCUUAUCAGCUUGUUGGUGGGGUAGUGGCUUACCAAGGCUUUGACGGGUAGCCGGCCUGAGAGGGGGACCGGCCACAUUGGGACUGAGAUACGGCCCAGACUCCUACGGGAGGCAGCAGUGGAGAAUAUUGCACAAUGGGCGGAAGCCUGAUGCAGCAACGCCGCGUGCGGGAUGACGGCCUUCGGGUUGUAAACCGCUUUCGCCUGUGACGAAGCGUGAGUGACGGUAAUGUGUAAAGAAGCACCGGCUAACUACGUG
rnacentral:rRNA from 1 species